rnacentral:rRNA from 1 species
GACAUAGGUCGCAAACGUUAUCCGGAAUUAUUGGGCGUAAAGGAUGCGUAGAUGGUUCAGUAAGUUACUGGUGGGAAAUCGAGGCCCAACCUCGUGGAAGUUAGUAAUACUGUUGAACUUGAGUGCAGGAGAGGUUAAACGGAACUUCAUGUGGAGCGGUAAAAUGCGUAGAUAUAUGAAAGAACAUCAAUAUAGCGAAGGCAGUUAACUAUUUUGCUACUGACAUUGAGGCAUGAAAGCGUGGGGAGCAAAACGG